UUAGAGCUAAAUGUGCUCUCACUUAUCCUACUAGAUAUUUUUCUCCUUUGGAAGAUGAAGCAGAUUUAGUUGGGAAUUCACUUGAUCACCAUUCAACUGACAGCUACCUCUCCAUCAGUCCCAAUAGUAGCUAAAGACAAAGUGCUUGCUGAAUCAGUGGACUCUGUUGAUGCUGAACCACUCUUUCCAGAACCUGAUAGAGAUCUUUCGGAUUGUGAGACCUCAUUAUCCACCAGGAGGAGUUGCAGAGAACUAAUUCAUAACGUUUUUGGAGUGCUCAACAAGAUUGAUCAGUUAAAAGGAAGCAAACUCAGCUUCGCAAAAUAGGUCAUUUUGAAUGCUGAACUCAUAUUUGGAACUACUCCUCAACAGCAGGCUCUACCUAUAGAGGAUGGGUUCUCUGUGAGCCAUUUUCUCCUCAAUGAACAUGAAAUGUUUUUGAGUUUUCUGUGGAUGGCUUUCAGUGAGUUGCUUGGCUGUAAUGACCCAAAACAGAUGAAUCAGCUUAAAGGAUUCGCCUUUGAUUGUCUAUUAGAGUACCUAGACUAAAAAUUUUCUCCAAUCUCUGAUUCUUGUUUCAGAACCUGUACCAAACUACCAUCAAGUAUGACCAAAGUGAUUCUGAUUGCUGAUAUUAUUGAUGAGGUCGAAGAGUGGACACAAUUUGUUGGUUUGAUCCCAGACCAGCUAAUAGAAUGGGAUAUGAGCCAUUCUUUGGGUAAAUGUACGGACUUUGAGAUUGAAGAAUAUGAAUGUGGCACUGAAGUUGCUAGGCAUAUUCUCCAAGAAUUAGUAGCUCCUCUUUCUGAGACUUUGUUGGAAGCCUAUCAGUGCUGUUCUCAAGUGAUAACUCUUGACUCAAUAAUGUCAAGCAAAGUAUUUUGUACAAAUCAUUGAUUCUGCAUCUGAUUUGACUUAUUGUACUUGUGCUUUUGCAUUUAUGAAUGUUAAGAACAAUCCCUUCGUGAA